AAAAUAGGUUUUUCAAUAAUGGUUAUUUUCCAUUCAAUUUAUCAAUAAUAUUUGAAGUUAAAAUAUUAUUAUGAAAAAUUAAAUAUAAUAGAAUAAAAUGUAGUUCACAAUAAAAUAAGUGGUUUACAAUAUGUUUUGAGUAUAAAAAAAAAUAAAAAAGAAAUAUGCAGUAACAGAUAUUAAAAAUCAUCAUCAUCUUCCUCAU
rnacentral:misc_RNA from 1 species